CAUUUUCAGAAAAGACAGAUUAUGCUCAGGUCAUAUUUUCGAACAAUAGGAGGCACGGAUUCUCCGUGGAAGUGGUUUUUUAACAGAACCAUCUAUAAUAUACACAAAAUCCACCAUACUAUAUUUCCAAGAAAAUGGCAUAACUUGAAAAAAAGAAGAAACUAAAUGAAAAAUUUACACUGAACAAAAAAGAUGCUCCAGAUGUAUCUUACUUGUUCAUAGCGACACCAAAAGAAAUGGAUGAAAACGACACUUGUAGUACAAGAAAAUAGUAGAUAAUCUCAGGAAUGUUGGAAACGAUGAAUAUGUUCACAAGGACGAAACGCCGACAACGAGAAAUUAUAAAGAUAAUACGAAUGGCAAAGCAGAGGCAGUAAGAACAAAGAUGAAGAAUGGCAUACUCCAUUACGUCAAUAUUUGGAGCAGGAUGUUUUAUUUUUAAAUAUUGCCAAUAAACUAAUUUAUUUAAAA